GUGAGUGGCGAACUGGUGAGUAACACGUGGGAAACCUGCCCAGAAGCGGGGGAUAACACCUGGAAACAGAUGCUAAUACCGCAUAACAACUUGGACCGCAUGGUCCGAGCUUGAAAGAUGGCUUCGGCUAUCACUUUUGGAUGGUCCCGCGGCGUAUUAGCUAGAUGGUGGGGUAACGGCUCACCAUGGCAAUGAUACGUAGCCGACCUGAGAGGGUAAUCGGCCACAUUGGGACUGAGACACGGCCCAAACUCCUACGGGAGGCAGCAGUAGGGAAUCUUCCACAAUGGACGAAAGUCUGAUGGAGCAACGCCGCGUGAGUGAAGAAGGGUUUCGGCUCGUAAAACUCUGUUGUUAAAGAAGAACAUAUCUGAGAGUAACUGUUCAGGUAUUGACGGUAUUUAACCAGAAAGCCACGGCUAACUACGUGCCAGCAGCCGCGGUAAUACGUAGGUGGCAAGCGUUGUCCGGAUUUAUUGGGCGUAAAGCGAGCGCAGGCGGUUUUUUAAGUCUGAUGUGAAAGCCUUCGGCUCAACCGAAGAAGUGCAUCGGAAACUGGGAAACUUGAGUGCAGAAGAGGACAGUGGAACUCCAUGUGUAGCGGUGAAAUGCGUAGAUAUAUGGAAGAACACCAGUGGCGAAGGCGGCUGUCUGGUCUGUAACUGACGCUGAGGCUCGAAAGUAUGGGUAGCAAACAGGAUUAGAUACCCUGGUAGUCCAUACCGUAAACGAUGAAUGCUAAGUGUUGGAGGGUUUCCGCCCUUCAGUGCUGCAGCUAACGCAUUAAGCAUUCCGCCUGGGGAGUACGGCCGCAAGGCUGAAACUCAAAGGAAUUGACGGGGGCCCGCACAAGCGGUGGAGCAUGUGGUUUAAUUCGAAGCUACGCGAAGAACCUUACCAGGUCUUGACAUACUAUGCAAAUCUAAGAGAUUAGACGUUCCCUUCGGGGACAUGGAUACAGGUGGUGCAUGGUUGUCGUCAGCUCGUGUCGUGAGAUGUUGGGUUAAGUCCCGCAACGAGCGCAACCCUUAUUAUCAGUUGCCAGCAUUAAGUUGGGCACUCUGGUGAGACUGCCGGUGACAAACCGGAGGAAGGUGGGGAUGACGUCAAAUCAUCAUGCCCCUUAUGACCUGGGCUACACACGUGCUACAAUGGAUGGUACAACGAGUUGCGAACUCGCGAGAGUAAGCUAAUCUCUUAAAGCCAUUCUCAGUUCGGAUUGUAGGCUGCAACUCGCCUACAUGAAGUCGGAAUCGCUAGUAAUCGCGGAUCAGCAUGCCGCGGUGAAUACGUUCCCGGGCCUUGUACACACCGCCCGUCACACCAU
rnacentral:rRNA from 1 species